GACGAACGCUGGCGGCGUGCUUAACACAUGCAAGUCGAACGCUGAAGCUUGGUGCUUGCACUGGGUGGAUGAGUGGCGAACGGGUGAGUAAUACGUGAGUAACCUGCCCUUGACUCUGGGAUAAGCCCGGGAAACUGGGUCUAAUACUGGAUACGACAUGCCACUGCAUGGUGGUGUGUGGAAAGGGUUUUACUGGUUUUGGAUGGGCUCACGGCCUAUCAGCUUGUUGGUGGGGUAAUGGCCUACCAAGGCGACGACGGGUAGCCGGCCUGAGAGGGUGACCGGCCACACUGGGACUGAGACACGGCCCAGACUCCUACGGGAGGCAGCAGUGGGGAAUAUUGCACAAUGGGCGGAAGCCUGAUGCAGCGACGCCGCGUGAGGGAUGACGGCCUUCGGGUUGUAAACCUCUUUCAGCACGGAAGAAGCGAGAGUGACGGUACGUGCAGAAGAAGCGCCGGCUAACUACGUG
rnacentral:rRNA from 1 species